CUUAUCGAGUAACAAUUGGAGGGCAAGUCUGGUGCCAGCAGCCGCGGUAAUUCCAGCUCCAAUAGCGUAUAUUAAAGUUGUUGCAGUUAAAAAGCUCGUAGUUGAAUUUCUGGCCGGUGCUGUCCUUGACUCUAGCAGUCAGUUCAGGACUUGGUCAUCCGUAUGGGAAGCUAGCUCGGCCUUCACUGGUCGGUUAGUGGAUCAUACACUUUACUUUGAAAAAAUUAGAGUGUUUCAGGCAGGCAAUUGCUUGGAUACUGCAGCAUGGAAUAAUGGAAUAGGACUUUGACCUAUUUGUUGGUUUCUUCGAGGUCAAAGUAAUGAUUAAUAGGGACAGUUGGGGGCAUUCGUAUUUAAUUGUCAGAGGUGAAAUUCUUGGAUUUAUUAAAGACGAACUUAUGCGAA
rnacentral:rRNA from 1 species